ACCUAGAUAGCUCAGUCGGCAGAGCAUGAUGAGACUCAUAAUUUCUGGGUUGCGGGUUCGAGCCCCACAUUGGACA